ACCUGCACUUACCUUUGAAAACCUUCAAGGCUAGUGUGAGAGAGACAAGAGAGGAGGGUUAUUGUGUGAGACGACUUUCACUAUCACUACCGGAAUCACUGCUAUCAAUCGGCUCAAUAGAAUCUUUUUCUUUUUGUGCAGCUUUAACAAGGAACCUGUCCAAUGACACUUGCUUUUGCCUCCUUGUGAGGAUUUCGCGGAAACGUGACAUUGCACUCGUAACACUCUCCAGAGAGAGAGAGAGAGAGAA